CUGAAGUGGGAGCUGUCUUUGCAGUGCUGUACGUCUUCUACGUGCUUGGUGCACUCUUCUGGGGUUACGUCUCGUCUUACAAGAAAAGGAGCAUGUUACGAUAUUAUUGGGCUUUGUCCUCCUGGUUCUCUCCUUCGUUUUCGUGGGUCCUGCGCCCUUCCUGCCGUUUGAACCAAGGCUGUGGCUAGUGUACAUUGCACAGGCCCUCUGCGGCGCCGGUGCAUCGGCGGUCGUCGUCUGCAGCUUUAGUCGUGCCAUCAAAAGAGCUAUGUGAGUCUGCCAUUGCACUCAGAGUAUAGAGA